AUAAAAAUAGUCCAGAAAAUAGAGAAAGAGUUGAAUUUGAUAUAUAUGGAAAACAUAAGUAUUGUAAAAGGCACAAUUCUUUUGUAUGCUAAUGUAAAUUGUAGCUAGAAGGGCUGUUAUCUUUUGUUUAAUGUCUUUAGCCUGUGAAGGGAUGUAAAUGGCUAUUCGAACAAGAGCAAGCAUUAGGCUUCACCAGUGUGUCAACUAACAUUCGAAUGACAGUCAUCAAACUCAAAUCUGGAGGAUUAUGGGUCCACGCACCCAUUGCUCCAACGAAGGAGUGUAUUCAGGUUCUCCUAACGAUUCUCAAUAGAUUUUUCGAGUCUUUCAUCUGAUAUUCCUUUUAAUCUAUAUUUUUUCGGGUGAGUGAGAUAAUAUUUAAUAUGCAUAUAAUAUAAAUAAAUAUGUAUGUUGAUUAUAUGAUGAAUACCACUAGUUAAUUUCUUGAAUAUUUAUAUAUGUUGCUUUAUUUUCCAAGUACUC